UCGAGAAUUUUUCUCAAUGGGCGCAAGCCUGAAGGAGCGACGCCGCGUGGGGGAUGAAGGGUUUCGAUCCGUAAACCCCUGUCAUUUGCGAACAAACCCUGAGGUUUAAGAGAUAUCAGGCUGAUUGUAGCGAAAGAGGAAGGGACGGCUAACUCUGUGCCAGCAGCCGCGGUAAUACAGAGGUCCCAAGCGUUGUUCGGAUUCACUGGGCGUAAAGGGUGCGUAGGUGGCUUGGUAAGUUUGAUGUGAAAUCUCCGGGCUUAACCCGGAAAUGGCAUUGAAUACUAUUGAGCUGGAGGUUUGGAGGGGGGACUGGAAUUCUCGGUGUAGCAGUGAAAUGCGUAGAUAUCGAGAGGAACACCAGUGGCGAAGGCGAGUCCCUGGACAACACCUGACACUGAGGCACGAAAGCUAGGGGAGCAAACAGGAUUAGAUACCCCGGUAGUCC
rnacentral:rRNA from 1 species